rnacentral:rRNA from 1 species
UACGUAGGGUGCAAGCGUUUCCCGGAUUUAUUGGGCGUAAAGAGCUUGUAGGCGGUUUGUCGCGUCUGCUGUGAAAAUCCGGGGCUCAACCCCGGACUUGCAGUGGGUACGGGCAGACUAGAGUGUGGUAGGGGAGACUGGAAUUCCUGGUGUAGCGGUGAAAUGCGCAGAUAUCAGGAGGAACACCGAUGGCGAAGGCAGGUCUCUGGGCCACUACUGACGCUGAGAAGCGAAAGCAUGGGGAGCGAACAGG